AUGUGUGUAUGUGUGUAUGUGUGCCUGCAUGUGGUUGUGUGCUUGUGUGUGUGUGCGUGCGCACAUCCAUACUCAUUCAGCAGCGCAGAGCAGGACAGAGAAGGACAGAGAAGAAGAGGGAAGAACAGAGAAGGACAGAGAAGAACAGAGAAGGACAGAGAAGAACAGAGCAGGACAGAGAAGAACAGAGAAGAACAGAGAAGGACAGAGCAGGACAGAGAAGAAGAGAGAAUAACAGAGAAGAACAUAGAAGGACAGAGAAGAACAGGACAGAGAAGAAGAGGGAAGAACAGAGAAACAGAGAAGAACAUAGAAGAACAGAGCAGGACAGAGAAGAACAGAGCAGGACAGAGCAGAGCAGGACAGAGCAGAGCAGAGCAGGACAGAGAAGAACAGAGCAGGACAGAGCAGAGCAGGACAGAGCAGAGCAGGACAGAGCAGAGCAGAGCAGGACAGAGCAGAGCUGGACAGAGCAGGACAGAGCAGAGCUGGACAGAGCAGGACAGAACAGAGCUGGACAGAGCAGAACAGAGCAGGACAGAGCAGAGCUGGACAGAGCAGAACAGAGCAGAGCUGGACAGAGCAGAACAUAGCAGCACAGAACAGAGCUGGACAGAGCAGGACAGAGCAGAGCAGGACAGAGCAGGACAGCGCAGGACAGAGCAGAACAGAGCAGGGCAGAACAGAGCAGGACAGAGCAGAGCAGGACAGAACAGAGCAGGACAGAGCAGAGCUGGACAGAGCAGAACAGAGCAGGACAGAGCAGAGCUGGACAGAGCAGAACAGAGCAGAGCUGGACAGAGCAGAACAGAGCAGCACAGAACAGAGCUGGACAGAGCAGGACAGAGCAGAGCAGGACAGAGCAGGACAGAGCAGGACAGAGCAGAACAGAGCAGGGCAGAACAGAGCUGGACAGAGCAGGACAGAGCAGAGCUGGACAGAGCAGGACAGAGCAGGGCAGAACAGAGCUGGACAGAGCAGGACAGAGCAGAGCAGGACAGAGCAGGACAGAGCAGAGCUGGACAGAGCAGAACAGAGCAGGACAGAACAGAGCAGGACAGAGCAGAGCUGGACAGAGCAGGACAGAACAGAGCAGGACAGAGCAGAGCUGGACAGAGCAGGACAGAACAGAGCAGGACAGAGCAGAGCUGGACAGAGCAGAACAGAGCAGAGCUGGACAGAGCAGAACAGAGCAGCACAGAACAGAGCUGGACAGAGCAGGACAGAGCAGGACAGAGCAGGACAGAGCAGGACAGAGCAGAACAGAGCAGGGCAGAACAGAGCUGGACAGAGCAGGACAGAGCAGAGCUGGACAGAGCAGGACAGAGCAGGGCAGAACAGAGCUGGACAGAGCAGGACAGAGCAGAGCAGGACAGAGCAGGACAGAGCAGGACAGAGCAGAACAGAGCAGGACAGAGCAGGACAGAGCAGAGCAGAGCAGGACAGAGCAGAUCAGAGCAGAACAGAUCAGAACAGAACAGAGCAGAGCAGAACAGAGCAGAACAGAGCAGAUCAGAGCAGAACAGAGCAGGACAGAGCAGAGCAGGACAGGACAGAGCAGGACAGAGCAGGACAGAGCAGAGCAGGACAGGACAGAGCAGGACAGAGCAGGACAGAGCAGAGCAGGACAGGACAGAGCAGGACAGAGCAGAGCAGAACAGUGGAAUGUAA
rnacentral:lncRNA from 8 species